rnacentral:rRNA from 1 species
GAUGAACGCUGGCGGCGUGCCUAAUACAUGCAAGUCGAGCGAACAGACGAGGAGCUUGCUCCUCUGACGUUAGCGGCGGACGGGUGAGUAACACGUGGAUAACCUACCUAUAAGACUGGGAUAACUUCGGGAAACCGGAGCUAAUACCGGAUAAUAUAUUGAACCGCAUGGUUCAAUAGUGAAAGACGGUUUUGCUGUCACUUAUAGAUGGAUCCGCGCCGCAUUAGCUAGUUGGUAAGGUAACGGCUUAUCACGGCAACGAUGCGUAGCCGACCUGAGAGGGUGAUCGGCCACACUGGAACUGAGACGCGGUCCAGACUCAUACGGGAAGCAGCAGUAGGGAAUCUUCCGCAAUGGGCGAAAACCUGACGGAGCAACGCCGAGGGAGUGGUGAAGGUCUUCGGAUCGUAAAACUCUGUUAUUGGGGAAGAACAAAUGUGUAAGUAUCUAUACACGUCUUGACGGUACCUAGUCAAAAAGCCACGGCUAACUACGUG